UUUAUAUUCAAACCUUCUUGGACAAUUAUCGUUCGUUCCUCGACAAAUGUUUCCUCUUUCGGAUGUGAUAUGGGAUUUUAUUGGCCAUGUUUUGGGAUUGGCGCGAAAAGCGUAGCUUUUUUUUGGCUCUGUUCCGUUGCUAAUUUGUUUACCUGCGAGAACCAGGGAGAGAAAUCGCUCUUGUUUAUUUUCAACAGCAUUUUUGGGACCAGUUCGACAAUAACAAAAACAACGACAGGCCAGCGGAAAUUUAAAGAAAUCUGUAUAUUUUUGGGGUCCCGAGUGUUCAAUUCAUAGAAACACGAGUACGCACACAGCAGAAACGUGUUGAAAGGCUCGCCAGCAAAAUGUUUUUGCAUAAUUUCCAGAAUCAAAAGUGGGGUUGAAAAAAAAGUGGUAAAUCAAAUCAAAUGUUUAACACAUGGGGCCGUGAGUCUCGAAUGGCAAAUGAAGCAAAAAUUAUUAUUCUGAUGGGGAGAAAAAAUUGGCACAAAGUGGCACACCGAAAUUUCAAUGGACCGUUCGUUGAAUGAACAGAAAAGUUGGUGCAAAAAGGGGCACAUUCCCCUUAGCCCAAAAACCAUAAACCAUACAACGAUGCCCAUAAUUAUUGAAUGUGUUUUGUUUCGGGGCAUAAAACUUG